GACUCGGAGGCGCAACCGUAGCGCGUCUGAUUCCAGUUCAGAAGGUUGAGUGUUCGAAUCAUGCCCGGGUCA